CCAGGAUGAUGCCUUCACGGACACCAUGUGAAACGACCAACUGUAGAAAGAACUAAACGCUCUCUUGCUAUUUUACAUUUGUCAAAGUUUAUGCUCUCGUGUAUCUUAACCCUUAUCUUUUAUGUAAGUUUAUAAGAGUUUUACACAGAAUAACCGGGACAUAAAUACGACAUUUUCUUAAAACAGUUGGAAUUAUCGUGAAACCUUGAACGCGUCUCCAGCUCCGGUCCAGUUGGAGCCGGGCUUCAAAUCAGGAGGCGCGAUGGCCGGCCUGUGGAGGUCCUACCAGACCCUCAUGACCAAGUAUCCGUGGACUGUGCAGAUCGUGACCGCAGGAUCUCUGGUGGGCGUCGGCGACGUCAUCGCCCAGCAGGUGAUUGAGCGGCGAGGAUUAAGACGCCACAGCGUGCAGCGGACGGCCCGGAUGAUGAGCAUCGGAUUCUUCUUUGUGGGCCCGGUGAUCGGCAGCUGGUACAAAGUUCUGGACCGGCUGGUGGUGGGAGGAAGUAAGAGCGCUGCCAUGAAGAAGAUGCUGCUGGAUCAGCUGUGCUUCGCUCCCUGCUUCCUGGCAGCGUUCCUCUCCAUCUCUGGAGCUCUGAACGGCCUGACGGUGGAGGAGAACGUUUCUAAACUCAAGCGGGAUUAUACAGACGCUCUGAUCUCCAAUUACUACCUUUGGCCGCCGGUCCAGAUCGCCAAUUUCUACUUCAUUCCUCUGAACCACAGGCUGGCUGUGGUCCAGGUCGUCGCCGUCGCCUGGAACUCCUACCUGACCUGGAAGGCCAACAAGAUGUGAGGAGGAGCACGACUCCGUCUGAGCCGGCGAGGAGCGACACUCAUCUGUUCUGUAGCUCCGCCCUCAGCUGUGACUGAAUCACCCUAAAGGAGAUGAAGCACGAAGACGUUUGGGAUUUGUGUCGGUUUGAAAUCAGAGACGAUAUCAAAACUCAUCAAAGUCAAAGACCUGCAACAAGCUCGUUUUUGAAUCAUCGUUACAUUUUAUUUAUUUAUCUUCUGGAUCUUCUCUUCUCACGUUUUCAGUCACAGCAGGUUCAGGCUGUCAAUCAUCCAGAGCUGUCUGGAUUUUUGUUGAUGAUCCUCAGGAUCUGGUUUUCUGAUCUUCAGGAUCAGAUCUUCUGCUUUUGUCAUCAUAAAUUUAUUAAAUGUU